rnacentral:rRNA from 1 species
UACGGAGGGUGCAAGCGUUGUUCGGAAUUAUUGGGCGUAAAGCGCAUGUAGGCGGUCUUACAAGUCAGGGGUGAAAGGCUACGGCUCAACCGUAGUAAGCCUUUGAAACUGUAGGACUUGAGUGCAGGAGAGGAAAGUGGAAUUCCUAGUGUAGCGGUGAAAUGCGUAGAUAUUACACAGAACUCCGAUUGCGAAGGCAGCUUACUAAACUGACACUGACACUGAGGUACGAAAGCGUGGGGAGCAAACAGG